CUGCAUGAAGAUUAUUCUGUUCACUGUUAAGUGCUUCUGUGGCCAUUGCAACAUGCUGGAGAGGAGUCCUGGGCUCUUGGGAGACGGCUGCUACUACCAGCCUGAAAGAAAGUGUCUGGACAUAUGGUGGCAGAGUGUGAAACAGUAUAUUACAAGCCUCCAGAUAAAAGCACUUAAAGAAAGGUUCCUUCUGCACAGCGACUUGCUGCUCCUGGGGCUGUCGCAGUAUGCCACUUCUUGUUUUUGGAACAUCUUCUCCAGCUGUUCAUGGCAAGAGUCUUCCCCUGGUGCUGCUGCUGGUUCAGUCUUUGUUGGAAUGACUGAAAUGUGUAUGCUCUUGGAAAAACAUGUGUAGUGAUGGUCCAGGCAGUCCCUUGGUGGCAGCUUGAGGGAAAUAAAAAAAAAAAGAAAAGGAGGACA
rnacentral:lncRNA from 1 species